rnacentral:rRNA from 1 species
AACCGGAUUAGAUACCCUGGUAGUCCACGCUGUAAACGAUGUCGAUUUGGAGGUUGUGCCCUUGAGGCGUGGCUUCCGGAGCUAACGCGUUAAAUCGACCGCCUGGGGAGUACGGCCGCAAGGUUAAAACUCAAAUGAAUUGACGGGGGCCCGCACAAGCGGUGGAGCAUGUGGUUUAAUUCGAUGCAACGCGAAGAACCUUACCUACUCUUGACAUCCAGAGAACUUAGCAGAGAUGCUUUGGUGCCUUCGGGAACUCUGAGACAGGUGCUGCAUGGCUGUCGUCAGCUCGUGUUGUGAAAUGUUGGGUUAAGUCCCGCAACGAGCGCAACCCUUAUCCUUUGUUGCCAGCGGUUCGGCCGGGAACUCAAAGGAGACUGCCAGUGAUAAACUGGAGGAAGGUGGGGAUGACGUCAAGUCAUCAUGGCCCUUACGAGUAGGGCUACACACGUGCUACAAUGGCGUAUACAAAGAGAAGCGACCUCGCGAGAGCAAGCGGACCUCAUAAAGUACGUCGUAGUCCGGAUUGGAGUGGGCAACUCGACUCCAUG